rnacentral:rRNA from 1 species
AGUGAAUAGAUACCCCGGUAGUCCUGGCCAUAAACGAUGAUCACUAGGUGUAGGAGGCUUCGACCCCUUCUGCGCCGCCGCUAACGCAUUAAGUGAUCCGCCUGGGGAGUACGGCCGCAAGGUUAAAACUCAAAGGAAUUGACGGGGGCCCGCACAAGCAGUGGAGCAUGUGGUUUAAUUCGAUGCUACGCGAAGAACCUUACCAGGGUUUGACAUCCCGGUGUAAGCCCCUAGAAAUAGGGGCCCCCUCGGGCGACCGGUGACAGGUGGUGCACGGUUGUCGUCAGCUCGUGCCGUGAGGUGUUGGAUUAAGUUCCGCAACGAGCGCAACCCUCCGUUGUCUAGUUGCCAUCAUUAAAGUUGGGGCGACUCUAGCGAGACUGCCAGCGUCAAGCUGGAGGAAGGUGGGGAGUGACGUCAAAUCAUCAUGCCCCUUACCACUCUGGGCUACACACGUGCUACAAUGGCCGGUACAACGGGUUGUCUACUUCGCGAGAAGAUGCGAAUACCCCAAACGCCGGU